UACGUAGGCAGCGAGCGUUGUUCGGAGUUACUGGGCGUAAAGGGUGUGUAGGCGGUUGUUUUAAGUUUGGUGUGAAAUCUCCCGGCUCAACUGGGAGGGUGCGCCGAAUACUGAAUGACUUGGAGUGCGGGAGAGGUGAGUGGAAUUCCUGGUGUAGCGGUGAAAUGCGUAGAUAUCAGGAGGAACACCGGUGGUGUAGACGGCUCACUGGACCGUAACUGACGCUGAGACACGAAAGCGUGGGUAGCAAACAGG
rnacentral:rRNA from 1 species